rnacentral:sRNA from 1 species
CCUUACUUUAGGAUGACGUAUAACGCAAUAUAAUCUUCAAUUGUUCGUAUAAACAGGUCAAGAUCUUUAUGUGCAUGUCACAUUUCUCAAUUAAUCUUUUUUCUUCUGGCAAUUACUUAUAUUUAGAGAUGUCGACAACAGCUGAGCUCAGUUGAAAUGAUUUCUUAAGCUAGUCAACAUGGGCUACAAUAUGCUGUUCAUAAAGAUCUUCCUUCUAGCAGCCGUAUACUGGACUGCUAGCUCGGACUAUAAGCCUAGAAUAGUGACACGCUUGAUGGCUCGAUGCAUGAAAAAUAGACAACACUACAAGUUGCUGACUAAUGGGAAUGUGAAGAAAUGUCUGAGGUAUGAAGAGACAAUGAAGCCAUACGUAGAGGCCAAAAGGAUUUGUGAAGACCAUGAGUGCACAAGCUAUAACCUUAGUUCAAGAAUCAUAAUUCCAACCUUUGCUUUCUUUAUAACAACUAUUUUUGUGAAUUACGUUAGAUGUUUCUAAAAAAAAUAUUAACCUGAAUAUUUCCAGAAGUUUCUAUUUCACAACUUAAUAAGGAAUAAAAAUAUAUCUAGUGGAGUCAA